rnacentral:lncRNA from 1 species
CAAGAACAUAGAUAAUACACUAUAUAGAGAUAGAUACGCAACUCAUCGUUCAAAACAACUUACUAGCGUGAAAGUUAACGGGCCCCCGUCACAAGAUGGCGUGGUUACUUCAUGUAUGGUUAGGGUAGAUGGCGCUUUUCAAGAGUUCUCUUAAAUAUUGAUUUCAAUUUCCAGUUCCAGUUUCCAGUUUUCAGUUUCCAACUUCUAGUCUAGUCAAUAAUAUUAUGGGAGAUAAUAAAAAAACAAAAGAUAAAGAGUA